rnacentral:rRNA from 1 species
UACAGAGGUCCCGAGCGUUGUUCGGAUUCACUGGGCGUAAAGGGUGCGUAGGUGGCGAGGUAAGUCGGAUGUGAAAUCUCCAAGCUUAACUUGGAAAUGGCAUUGGAAACUACCUGGCUAGAGGUUUGGAGGGGGGACUGGAAUGCUUGGUGUAGCAGUGAAAUGCGUAGAUAUCGUAAGGAAGACCAGUGGCGAAGGCGGGUCUCUGGACAGUUCCUGACGCUGAGGCACGAAGGUCAGGGGAGCAAACGGG